rnacentral:rRNA from 1 species
UUGGARGGCAAGUCUGGUGCCAGCAGCCGCGGUAAUUCCAGCUCCAAUAGCGUAUAUUAAAGUUGUUGCAGUUAAAAAGCUCGUAGUUGAAUUUCGGGGUUAGUAGGUUGGUCAUGCCUCUGGUAUGUACUGACCUCACUAAUUCCUCCUUCCUGAUGAGCCGUAAUGCCAUUAAUUUGGUGUUGCGGGGAAUUUGGACUGUUACUUUGAAAAAAUUAGAGUGUUUAAAGCAAGCUAACGCUUGAAUACAUUAGCAUGGAAUAAUGAAAUAGGACGUUCGAUCCUAUUUUGUUGGUUUCUAGGAUUGACGUAGUGAUUAAUAGGGAUAGUUGGGGGCAUUAGUAUUCAAUUGUCAGAGGUGAAAUUCUUGGAUUUAUUGAAGACUAACUACUGCGAAAGCAUUUGCCAAGGAUGUUUUCAUUAAUCAAGAACGAAAGUUAGGGGAUCGAAGACGAUCAGAUACCGUCGUAGUCUUAACCAUAAACUAUGCCGACUAGGGACCGGAUGAUGUUAAUUUUUUAAUGACUCAUUCGGCGCCUUACGGGAAACCAAAGUGUUUGGGUUC